AGAGAGAUAAUUAUUUUAAUUGCCGAGACCUUGAGUUCAAUAAUUUAAAAUAUUGCGUUCGUUUGAAAUUUUCACGACGUGAAGGUUUAAGAUUUAUUAACUAUAAUAAUAAUGUGUAUAUAUUUAUAUACAGGAAAAUUUAAAUUAAUCUCGAUAGAGAAAUAAGACUGGGAAUGAAUCAUCAACUUGGUAAGUAUAAAUAUUCAGCGUAAGUAUGCGCACAUUAGCAUCGACCUGGUGGUACUAUAAACGUAUUUUAGAGCAGUACAAAAAUUAAAUACAGCUGACAUUAAACAUAACAGGAAACGAGCGGAUAUUCGUACGUGAUUGUAGCAAAAAUAUUUAGUAUAAUAAUAAUUAUUAUUUUAAUAUAACUAAAUAUCGUAGUACAAAAUAUAAAAAUGAUAUUUUUCUAGUCUUUAGAUCGUACAUCUCUAUUUUAGUUUCUAUUGCGUAGAUGCAAAGCAGCGUAUAAAUGUUUAUCACACAUUUAUACCGAAGACGAACACGACGACGACGACAAUCAACAGCAGAGUCCGGUUGGCAGCAAUGGAAUCUGCAGCGACCUACUUGGCGUACCUCGACCCUUGCAUUGAUUUGAAAAGCACGAGCCCAAAUUAUUUGCCAACUUGCUUACAUUACUCUCAUUUAUUUUUUCAUUUCAUCUAGCCCGCUUUCUCUUGUCAUUCAUUCAUUUAUUCAUUUAUUUAUUUAUUUUUAUGCUGAAAUUAAAAAUAAAAAAAUCAUACAAUUAUUCAAUGUCACUAAAUUAUUAAGUAAUUUGUAAUAAAAUUUUUUAAUAGAAAAAAAGGGGUUGUUUCUUUACUCACAAAGAGACUCGAGGUACAGAAUAACAAGAAGAAGAAUAAGAUGAAGAAGAUGAAAAAGAAGAAAAGAGACCAUGAAAAGUAAUUGCCAAGAGAACCAAGUGAAAUAUGCGAGCUCCCGCCAAUAACCGGUAUUCGCCAUUAUAUCCUCGUGUUUAUUUUCCCGUAGAUUCAAACCUCGCUAAAGCAAAAGGGAAGAGCCAGAAGAAGAAGGAGUUAAAAGAAGAAAUAAGAAUAACAAGAGUAACUGCAAGAGUAUAGAAGGAUGCUGUGUACCGUAGCGUUGGGUGAUGAACGAUUUAAUCGCAUUACUAAGGCAACAAUUGACAUCAUGACCUAACGAAGCUAAGCCUACUUUAUAACCCCCGCUGAUCAUUAUUGCCAGAGCCCGUAGUCCUAAGAACCAGUGUCUAUUGUCUCGCGAUUUAAAUAUUCAACGAUUUAUUUAGCUACCAACCGUUCGCUCGAGGUAAUUGUUUGUAACUCGGGCAAGAAGAAAUAGACCAAUGGCUCCACGGACAAAAAGUCUGCGGAGAUUUCAAAACGAGGGAGGAGGAAUGGCAACAACGCGGGGCCAUUGUGAGAGAGCUCAACAUUUUAUCCAAGGUUACCCAGUCGUGGGCAUAUUGGGUGCUCCACUCCUAAGAAGAAGACGAAGUAAGUACGUACAAUAAUAAUAAUAACUAUGAUUAUUAUUAUUAUUGUAUUAACAAUAAUAAUGAUAAUGAUACUGGUACAAGAAGACGGCAAAUGUCCAUGAACAAUCCCAAGCAAGGUAUAACAAACUCUACGCCACUGAAAAGUACGCUGUUGAUCUCCACGAGUUAAAAGUAUGUUUUUUAACUUAUGUAUACACCUAGUUGGCUAGUGUACACAAUUGUAUCCAUAAUAGCUUCUCCUACUCUUAAACUUCAUCCUCGUUCUCUUGGUUCGUUUUCUUUUCAUGGUUCUUCUCCUCGUCUCAAGACCAACACUAGAGGAAUGGCAUAGCCCCACUGCAUAAGCAACUCCAACCGUAUGUGUUUAUAAUAAUAAUACACACGCUGUAUUGUAGAAUAUAUUCUUCCUUGUAAUCGUCAUCAUUACGAAUACCUGAGGCGAAUUAAACGAGUGUCUUUUUUUAUAUUUAGUAUCUCUGUCAUCAAAAGAUUCAAAGUUUAUCGACAUCGGCAAACUUGAUUACAAUUUUAAAACUCAAAAAUGUUGUAAUAGAGGCUGCUAAAAUAUAAAUAUAUAAAGAAAUAAGCAAAAACAUAUUGCGGCAUUUCUUUGAUAACGAGUUUUAAUCCUCGGAAAAAAAUGUCGGGCGAGAUAAUCCUCUGAAUAAAA